UUUUUGCCUUUUGUUUCAAAGUUAAAGAACUUACUAAAGAAAUAAAUGCAUAAAGGAAUUAAGACCAUUUAAAAGAUACUGUUACUAUCUUCUAGCCACAUCCUAGUCAGACCAUAUUGGAAAUCUCAAAAACUAUUUCAUUCAUAGAAAUUAAAAACAAACAACAGAAACAAUGCCAAGUAAACAAGUAGAAAAGUCCUUAUGUUCAAUUAAGGUGAUGAUGGACCACAAAUAAAGAAAUUAACAAAGACAAAAAUACUAAAGACCUAAAGUAAGGCAAAAAUACUACUAAUAAGAACCUUUUAUUUAAAAACUCUGUGAUCCUUCAAAGAUCUCGAAGAAAAACAAAAAAUCCCCAAAUGGAGAGGUCACUAAAUAUCCAUGAACACUCACCCAACCACUGGUAGGAGACCUCUUGAAGACCCAGAUGCUUGAAUCAGCUGAAAUAGUACCAAUUUUUUACUGAUUACUCUUAAUAGGGCAAUGGAGCACAGGUUAACUCCAUACUAUCAAAUAUUAAAAGUUACUAUUAUUAAUUUCUACCUACUACCAUUACAAAUUACUCAAAGGAGAAGGAGACUGAGUAAUGAGUUCUAAGAUGAGUGAAACUUACUGCAUGCAUGUGUGUAAAUGCAUACAUUUCCUCCAGCUCUCUUUGUGAUGUAAACCUGAGAAUGUAAUUCUUCUCGUUAAGUGUAAAUAUACAGGCAGAAUAAAAUUUUCUAAAUUAAUACAAAAUCCUUAAAGCAUGUAAAAUAUUUUUAUAUUGGUUUAUGUAGAAAAAUUUUUUUAAUUUGUUUUUUAAAGACAAUGACAAUUUCUCAAUAUGAGUUACUUUAAUUA
rnacentral:lncRNA from 1 species